rnacentral:rRNA from 1 species
CAGUCGCCACGGGAAUACGUAGGGCGCAAGCGUUAUCCGGAAUUAUUGGGCGUAAAGAGCUCGUAGGCGGUUUGUCGCGUCUGCCGUGAAAGUCCGGGGCUCAACCCCGGAUCUGCGGUGGGUACGGGCAGACUAGAGUGAUGUAGGGGAGACUGGAAUUCCUGGUGUAGCGGUGAAAUGCGCAGAUAUCAGGAGGAACACCGAUGGCGAAGGCAGGUCUCUGGGCAUUAACUGACGCUGAGGAGCGAAAGCAUGGGGAGCGAACAGGAUUAGAGACCCGGGUAGUCCCUGUCUCUUAUAC